ACAUAGACAUACAUGCAGCCAAACACCCGUACACAUAUCAUAAUAAAUGAAAAGAAAGUAAGAAUUUUUUUUAUAUGGAUUAUGUGCCUGGGUCUGUGCACAAGAGUUGAGGGUGCCUGGAGAGGCCUCUGGUAUCAGGUUUCGCUGGAGCUGCAGUUAUGGGCAGGUGGGAGCCACCUGAUGUAGGUGCUGGGAAUCUAAUUUGGGGUCUCUGGAAGAGUUUUCCUGCCAGUUCCCCAGCCCUGAAAUGAAAUUUUAAAUCAUUCAAAGAAGUAAAAGUCCUAUGCUAUUCAAACUGCAGGCAUAUAAAUAAAGUUUUAUUGGAACAUGGCCAAAACAUUGGCUUGUAGGAGGCUUCGUGAUGGUUAAAGUACUACAGCCUGUAUGCUACAGCUAUUUAUAGAAGGCUGCCAACUCCUACCUUGAAGCCCUAAUUUUAAUGCAGUGAUCACUUUUUGUUAAUGAACGAUCUCUUCCAGGCCCUGCAGCUAGUCACUUGUAUGUAUUAAUUCAACCCUUACCGCAGCACCACAGUGCAGGGAUUUCAUAGAUGUCUGCCUUAUAGAGAGGAAGAUUCCUCCUGUGAUACACCUGAGUUAGGUGCUUCCUGCUGCUCUUUUUCAUCUUGGCUCCUGAUGAUUCAAGGUGACUCAAGGCCAUGUUGACCUUUAAUAAUUCAGGUGGCUGUCGAGGACUGGCGAUGUAUGUGGGGCUUAGGACACUGGGCUGGACAGUGUGGUUAAGACUGUAGAGUUCAUUGCUUUAUCUGUUACCCUCUGCAUAGACAUGACAUGACUACUGGGGAGGCGUCUAAGAUGGUGAGGGUGACUCUGUUGAUAGAUUGGUGCCUCAGCUCAGUAUGGAAACUGAAGUACAGUAUGGGCACAUGGGCAGAGUCAAUUAUUGCAUUGGAUUUACAGAGAAAGCCUCCUCAAGCUGGGCUUGGCCAAGAGACCCAAAGCCUCAGGAACUCGGUGGAAGGAACUGAGCCACUAAGUAGGCAAGAAACUGGGCAGGAGUCACGGGGCAUCAGAAAUGUUUUUGCCUGAUGUGUACUGUCCAUGGACACUGAGCGAGGAUCCUUGUCUCUGGGAUCCUUAGUCUGCAUUUUAGUUUCUGACAGAUGGGAAUAGCCAGGAGUGGGUAUCUCCCUGGGAUAAGAAACAUGGCACUUGUUCUUUCUUGAAUUAGAAUUCUGUUCUUAAUUUACAAAUAUGUUCUUUUCCAGAGCAUUUCAGUUACAUCUUCACCCUUUUUUCACCGCUCUCCCACAAUAGGAAGCUAUUCCAGCAGAUUUACACCCAUAAAUAUAGGAACACAAAGAUGGUUUUUACACAAAUGAUGUUGUAUUUAUCAUCUAUCCCUUGCUUUUUAUUAACCAGCAAGUUAAAAAAGUUGUUUGCCUCAUGCAUAUCAGCACUGUCCUUUUAAUAGCUGUGUGGUAUUCCACUGUUGAAAAUACGUCAUAGAAAUGAUUAGGUUCUUACCUACUUCUAGUCAUUAAGGCCACUUCACGAAGUUUUUGUAUGCAUUUCCUUGAGUGCUCAUUUGCCAAUAUUUGUUUAAAGUUGAGCUACAGUGUACUAGGGGGUCUUGGCUUUACCUGGGUCCUUGGAUAACAUACCGCGUCACCCUGCAGUGUGUGUUCUUUCCUGCUGAUGGGUGGGGCAUGGGGGGCAGAAAAGGCGAGGCGUGCAGAGCCCGGACACGGUGGGACAGAUGUGCUUGUCUGCAGCUUCCCCCCAUGCACUCUGGGUGCCUCCACCCCUGUCAGGACAGGCACCUGUGCAGCCCUGCGUCCUUUCAGCCCAGGAUCGGCAUUUCCUUUGUUUGUCAGGUUAGGGUGGGGGAGGGAGGAGAGAGAAGGAGACAGAGGAAGGGGGCCUGAGAACUGUGCUUCUGUGGGUGGGAACUGCUUGAAGUCUAUUCCCUCAAUCGACUCUCGGCACUGCUCCCCCUUCUUAGCCAAAGUGCACCAGAUCUCAGAAGUUGGAGAUGAAUGACGUUUUCAUUGUAAUCUCUUGCCUUUACUCAGACGCUCUGUUCUCUUUAUCCUCUGACGGAGGCAUUUUUAUGAGGAGAUGUUAGGAAGGGGGUAGUGGUCAGGGAAACCACAGAACACAGAGAAGCACUGUCAGGCCGCAUGCUUAUCUUCUCUCAGGACUGGAAAUAACUGGUAUGCUGCAAUUAGCUAGCUGGUCCUCCUCAGGACCUCAUUUCUUCCAGACUUCAAGGCGACAGGAAAGAUGCACAGUUUGUGCAUUCUCACAGCAAACGGCUUCUCUUUUCCCCUUAAGUAGUCAGAGCUUUGUCAGCAGUGUAGACAGAAGAUGGACAGCUGUGUUUAAAAACUAAGACACAUCCCAGGGUGCUAACUGUGGCAUGGAGUGAAUAUGUAUUGAUUGUUAGAAUUAUUUCUUAAGAAUGCCAUUUCAAAAGCAGAGCUAGGUACUGAGCCAGCAUGUUUCUUGUGUGUGUGUGUGUGUGUGUGUGUGUGUGUGUGUGUGUGUGUAUGUGUAUGUAUGUAUUUGUAGGCCAGAGUUUGACUUCUCAGAGUCUCAGAGUUCACAGAUUGAUUAAACUGUCUGGCCAACAAACUCUUGGGAUCCAUGUGCCUCUUCCUUUCCAGUACAAGGAGUACAAGUGUGUGCCAACACACCUGUCUUGUGUGUAGUUGCUAGGACUCGAAGGUAGGUCCUCAUGCCUGGUUAACUCUGUUGCUAACCUAUUCUCAAGUGUUUGGAUAAAUGAGCUAGUAUUAGAAAGCAUGAUUGUCAAAUCAGAAUGUCACCAACCACACUGGCUUUAAACCCAGAGAGGAUGAACCUCUCACCCAGGAGCGAUAGGUGGCUUGUGGCCCAGGGUCCUGCAUCUCACCUAUGCAGGCACAAUGGGGAUUGUGACUUACAAAGACGUCUAUUACCUCAUUCUUGACUGACAUGAAAUGAGCUGGUGGCUGAGACAACCUCAAGGAAGCGGGGCAGACCUCUGUUGUACCUCUGGGCCACCAGGACUCUGCACAGAGAACUGCCGGUUGUCAAGUGCAGGGCGUUUGUAGGACAAGGCCAACUCCAGAGGUUGAGUGACUUGCCCUCACUCACCACAAUUCAAGAUUUGCUAAUGCAUACCCACCGGGGACGCUGGUGCUGUUUGUUAGCUGAGUGAAAAGGGAAGAGAGCCUGUCUAUGUACAGGUGUUUGUCAUUUAGUCAAAACGCAGAUGACGCCUGCUUUUCAGCUUGCGCCUCGGCUGCGUGCACCUGCAUACAGAGAGCAACAGCCACAUCUCCCUUCUGGACAGAAGCAACAAGAUGUGGGGCUGCUUUUGUGUCGUGCAUGAUGGCGUCACCUUCGGCUCUGAGGAUCUGCCAUGGCAUAUGUUAGCAUUUCUGUAAACCACUGAAUUUGAGUCACAGUUUUAUACGUACCUGAUUUGUAUAAUAGAUGAGAAAUUUACCAAUAUUUCCAUCACAGUCAAAGCUUAGAUAACAUAUGCAGAGUUUGUUUUCUUCUCAGCAAUGAAAGAAAGUUUUCUUUUUGAAGCUUUUGAAUAAACCAUCAAUAAAAAAAUUA